rnacentral:rRNA from 1 species
CGGGACGGGUGAGUAAUGUCUGGGAAACUGCCUGAUGGAGGGGGAUAACUACUGGAAACGGUAGCUAAUACCGCAUAACGUCGCAAGACCAAAGAGGGGAACCUUCGGGCCUCUUGCCAUCGGAUGUGCCCAGAUGGGAUUAGCUAGUAGGUGGGGUAACGGCUCACCUAGGCGACGAUCCCUAGCUGGUCUGAGAGGAUGACCAGCCACACUGGAACUGAGACACGGUCCAG